rnacentral:rRNA from 1 species
AACGUAGGUGGCAAGCGUUAUCCGGAUUUACUGGGCGUAAAGGGUGUGCAGGCGGGGUUGCAAGUGGUGUAUGAAAUCUCCCGGCUUAACCGGGAGGGGUUAUGCCAGACUGCAAUUCUAGAGGACGAGAGAGGGGGGUGGAAUUCCGGGGUGUAGUGGUGAAAUGCGUAGAUAUCAGGAGGAACACCGGUGGCGAAGGCGGGUCUCUGGGCCGAUACUGACGCUGAGGAGCGAAAGCGUGGGGAGCGAACAGG